rnacentral:rRNA from 1 species
GGCUUGUUGAUUAUAAUUUCAAGUCUGUCCUGCCCUAUGAUGAUUUAAAUGGCCGCGGUAUCCUGACCGUGCAAAGGUAGCAUAAUCAUUAGUUUUUUAAUUGAAAGCUGGUAUGAAAGGUUUGAUGAGAAAAUUUCUGUCUCUUUUAUAGUUAUUUAGAAUUUUAUUUUUAAGUGAAAAAGCUUAGAUGUUUGUAGAAGACGAGAAGACCCUGUAGAGUUUUAUAAUUAAAUUGAAAUAGAGUAUUUAAGUUUUAAUUUAAUUUAUUUCAAUUUAAUUAUUUUGUUGGGGUGAUGGGAAAAUUAAAUAAACUUUUCUUUAAUAAAAUGCUUAUGAGCAGGUCUGUGAUCCUAGAUUUUAGAUUACAAGAUUAAAUUACCUUAGGGAUAACAGCGUAAUUUUUUUGAGGAGUUCUUAUCGGAAAAAAAGUUUGCGACCUCGAUGUUGGAUUAAAAUUUAUAGCUGGUGCAGAAGCUAGUGUAUUAGGUCUGUUCGACCUUUUAAAUUUUACAUGAUCUGAGUUUAAACCGGCGUGAG